rnacentral:rRNA from 1 species
GACGAACCGUGCGAACGUUGUUCGGAAUCACUGGGCUUAAAGGGCGCGUAGGCGGGCGAUCAAGUCAGGGGUGAAAUCUUUCGGCUUAACCGGAAAACAGCUUCUGAUACUGGUCGUCUUGAGUGAGGUAGGGGCAUGUGGAACUUCCGGUGGAGCGGUGAAAUGCGUAGAUAUCGGGAAGAACACCCGUGGCGAAGGCGGUUCUCUGGGACGGUACUGACGCUGAGACGCGAAAGCGUGGGGAGCGAACAGG